rnacentral:rRNA from 1 species
AUACGAGGGGCGCAAGCGUUGUCCGGAUUCAUUGGGUGUAAAGGGUGCGUAGGUGGAUCGAUAAGUUGGAAUAUAAAUCCCGCAGCUUAACUGCGGACCUGGUUUCAAAACUGUCGGUCUUGAGUUCGAAAGAGGGGAGUGGAAUUCCUAGUGUAGCGGUGGAAUGCGUAGAUAUUAGGAGGAACACCAGUGGCGAAGGCGGCUCUCUGGUUCGAUACUGACACUAAGGCACGAAAGCGUGGGGAGCAAACAGGAUUAGAUACCCCAGUAGUCC